AUUGAACGCUGGCGGCAGGCCUAACACAUGCAAGUCGAACGGUAACAGGGUGCUUGCACCGCUGACGAGUGGCGAACGGGUGAGUAAUGCGUCGGAACGUGCCGAGUAGUGGGGGAUAACGCAGCGAAAGUUGUGCUAAUACCGCAUACGUACUGAGGUAGAAAGUGGGGGACCUUCGGGCCUCACGCUAUUCGAGCGGCCGACGUCUGAUUAGCUAGUAGGUGAGGUAAAGGCUCACCUAGGCGACGAUCAGUAGCGGGUCUGGGAGGAUGAUCCGCCACACUGGGACUGAGACACGGCCCAGACUCCUACGGGAGGCAGCAGUGGGGAAUUUUGGACAAUGGGCGAAAGCCUGAUCCAGCCAUGCCGCGUGUCUGAAGAAGGCCUUCGGGUUGUAAAGGACUUUUGUCAGGGAGGAAAUCCCUAGUGCUAAUAACACUGGGGGAUGACAGUACCUGAAGAAUAAGCACCGGCUAACUACGUGCCAGCAGCCGCCGCCG
rnacentral:rRNA from 1 species